rnacentral:lncRNA from 1 species
UGGGUUUAGCAGCAAUAACAGUGUUGAGAUCAUAGCGAAGAUACUCAGCCCUAAGGCGGAGAUCAUUUUGAACAUAGGGCCAAGCCUUCUUGUCAAUGAGCGGCUUCACACCCACAAUGUCCUUGGCUGAUUCCUUGGCUCUCACUGCUGCUUGAGCUGGGUCAAGUGGCUGCAGGUAAAAUCUCUUCUUCAAUGGUAGAUCCAAGUCUCUUGGCUGAUCAGAGUUUAAAGUCCCAGCUGCCAACACAAAAGUUCAAAAUUUUGGCCAUUAUAGCUUGAAACGUCACUGUCACAUUAAUACAAAUGGGUGGAAGAGAUAAUGAACUUACGCAGUCCGCCGGAGGGAGGAGGAGGAGGACCAAGCUUAAUAGAAAGGGCUUCAGCAAGCACCGCUUGAGCGAAAGACCCAGAAGCCAAACCAGCGGCAACAAGACCCAGCACAGCUCGACGGCUGGGUUCAGGCUCAGCAGCAGAAGGUACCUGUUGGUAAGCUCUAAUAGUGAGACCAGGCCUGGAAACAGCUACCCUUGUGUUGUUGCUAG